GCUCGCGUAGCUCAGUGGUAGAGCAUUGUACUUAUGAGGUUGCCUUUAUAACCUACGCAUUUUGCGAUGCAAGGGUCUCCAGUUCAAUCCUGGGCGUGAGCA
rfam:Moniliophthora roreri strain MCA 2952 kmer90.96688, whole genome shotgun sequence.